GGAGAGAUGUCCGAGCGGUUUAAGGAGCUGGUCUUGAAAACCAGUGAGUCAGCAAUGACCCGUGGGUUCGAAUCCCACUCUCUCCGCCA
rnacentral:tRNA from 1 species